rnacentral:rRNA from 1 species
GACGAACGCUGGCGGCGCGCUUAACACAUGCAAGUCGAGCGAGAACCGGGGCUUCGGCCCCGGGGACAGCGGCGAACGGGUGAGUAACACGUGAGUAAUCUGCCCUCGGCACCAGAAUAGCCCGGGGAAACUCGGAUUAAUGCCGGAUAGCCCCUCUGCCCUGCGGGGCGGCGGGAAAAGGUAGCUUCGGCCUCUGGCCGAGGAUGGGCGCGCGGCGGAUUAGCUUGUUGGCGGGGUAACGGCCCACCAAGGCGACGAUCCGUAGCUGAUCUGAGAGGACGAUCAGCCACACUGGGACUGAGACACGGCCCAGACUCCUACGGGAGGCAGCAGUGGGGAAUCUUGCGCAAUGGGCGAAAGCCUGACGCAGCGACGCCGCGUGCGGGAAGAAGGCCUUCGGGUUGUAAACCGCUUUCAGGAGGGACGAAGCCACUCGGGUGAACAGCCCAGAGGGUGACGGUACCUCCAGAAGAAGCCCCGGCUAACUACGUGCCAGCAGCCGCAGUAACAC